rnacentral:rRNA from 1 species
GUAGGGAAUAUUGGACAAUGGGGGCAACCCUGAUCCAGCAAUGCCGCGUGAGUGAUGAAGGCCUUAGGGUUGUAAAGCUCUUUUACCCGGGAUGAUAAUGACAGUACCGGGAGAAUAAGCUCCGGCUAACUCCGUGCCAGCAGCCGCGGUAAUACGGAGGGAGCUAGCGUUGUUCGGAAUUACUGGGCGUAAAGCGCGCGUAGGCGGCUAUUUAAGUCAGAGGUGAAAGCCUGGAGCUCAACUCCAGAACUGCCUUUGAGACUGGAUAGCUAGAAUCCUGGAGAGGUGAGUGGAAUUCCGAGUGUAGAGGUGAAAUUCGUAGAUAUUCGGAAGAACACCAGUGGCGAAGGCGGCUCACUGGACAGGUAUUGACGCUGAGGUGCGAAAGCGUGGGGAGCAAACAGGAUUAGAAACCCCAGUAUCC